rnacentral:misc_RNA from 1 species
AACGCACGAGACCUGCGGACCUGCGGAAGGAUCAUUACGCAAAAGACGUUUGAGACUAAUACUCAAAAACCACUGUGAACAUACCUGUAACUUUGCUCCGGCGGGCCUGCUCUGGGGGAGUAGAUGCCCUAAUAUAAUGGGUGCCCGUCGGAGUAGUAACAUUCUAUAUUUUGAGCUUUCUGAUUGUGGGACUAAAAUAUCACAACUUUCAACAAUGGAUCUCUAGAUCGGAAGAGCACA